UACGUAGGGGGCAAGCGUUAUCCGGAAUUACUGGGUGUAAAGGGAGCGUAGACGGUAAAGCAAGUCUGGAGUGAAAGGCUGGGGCCCAACCCCGGGACUGCUCUGGAAACUGUUAAACUGGAGUGCAGGAGAGGCAAGUGGAAUUUCUAGUGUAGCGGUUAAAUGCGUAGAUAUUAGAAGGAACACCGGUGGCGAAGGCGGCCUGCUGGACUGCAACUGACGUUGAGGCCCGAAAGCGUGGGGAGCAA
rnacentral:rRNA from 1 species